AGUGAACGCUGGCGGCGUGCCUAACACAUGCAAGUCGAACGAUGAUGGAGAGCUUGCUCUCCUGAUUAGUGGCGCACGGGUGAGUAUACCAUAGAUAAUGUACCCCUUAGUUCGGGAUAGCCACUGGAAACGGUGAUUAAUACCGGAUACUCCUUCUCAUUAUAAGACGAGUCGGGAAAGUUUUUUCGCUAAGGGAUCAGUCUAUGUCCUAUCAGCUAGUUGGUGAGGUAAUGGCUCACCAAGGCAAUGACGGGUAUCUGGUUUGAGAGGAUGAUCAGACACACUGGAACUGAGACACGGUCCAGACUCCUACGGGAGGCAGCAGUGAGGAAUAUUGCACAAUGGAGGAAACUCUGAUGCAGCAACGCCGCGUGGAGGAUGACGCAUUUCGGUGUGUAAACUCCUUUUAAGAGGGAAGAUUAUGACGGUACCUCUUGAAUAAGCACCGGCUAACUCCGUGCCAGCAGCCGCCGUAACAC
rnacentral:rRNA from 1 species